AACCUAGAGAAGUGUAACCUGUGCUGGACCGUGUACAAGUCUCCUGGAAUGGAGCAUCAUAGAGGGUGAGAAUCCCGUCUUUGACAUGGACUACCAGUGCACUGUGGUUGCACACUCAACGAGUCGAGUUGUUUGGGAAUGCAGCUCUAAAUGGGUGGUAAAUUCCAUCUAAAGCUAAAUAUUGGCGAGAGACCGAUAGCGAACAAGUACCGUGAGGGAAAGAUGAAAAGAACUUUGGAAAGAGAGUUAAACAGUAUGUGAAAUUGUUGAAAGGGAAACGCUUGAAGUCAGCUGCAUUAGCUGGGGAUCAAGCCAGCUUUUUUGCUGGGUGUACUUCCUGGUUGAUGGGCCAACAUCAGUUUUGACCAUCAGAGAAAGGCUAAGGGAAUGUGGCACCUUUAUAGGUGUGUUAUAGCCCUUGGUUGUAUGUGAUGGUUGGGACUGAGGACAGCAGCGUGCCGCAAGG
rnacentral:rRNA from 1 species